GUCGAGCGGUAAGGCCUUUCGGGGUACACGAGCGGCGAACGGGUGAGUAACACGUGGGUGAUCUGCCCUGCACUUCGGGAUAAGCCUGGGAAACUGGGUCUAAUACCGGAUAUGACCUCCUAUCGCAUGGUGGGUGGUGGAAAGAUUUAUCGGUGCAGGAUGGGCCCGCGGCCUAUCAGCUUGUUGGUGGGGUAAUGGCCUACCAAGGCGACGACGGGUAGCCGACCUGAGAGGGUGACCGGCCACACUGGGACUGAGACACGGCCCAGACUCCUACGGGAGGCAGCAGUGGGGAAUAUUGCACAAUGGGCGAAAGCCUGAUGCAGCGACGCCGCGUGAGGGAUGACGGCCUUCGGGUUGUAAACCUCUUUCAGCAGGGACGAAGCGCAAGUGACGGUACCUGCAGAAGAAGCACCGGCUAACUACGUGCCAGCAGCCGCGGUAAUACGUAGGGUGCAAGCGUUGUCCGGAAUUACUGGGCGUAAAGAGUUCGUAGGCGGUUUGUCGCGUCGUUUGUGAAAACCAGCAGCUCAACUGCUGGCUUGCAGGCGAUACGGGCAGACUUGAGUACUGCAGGGGAGACUGGAAUUCCUGGUGUAGCGGUGAAAUGCGCAGAUAUCAGGAGGAACACCGGUGGCGAAGGCGGGUCUCUGGGCAGUAACUGACGCUGAGGAACGAAAGCGUGGGUAGCGAACAGGAUUAGAUACCCUGGUAGUCCACGCCGUAAACGGUGGGCGCUAGGUGUGGGUUCCUUCCACGGAAUCCGUGCCGUAGCUAACGCAUUAAGCGCCCCGCCUGGGGAGUACGGCCGCAAGGCUA
rnacentral:rRNA from 1 species